rfam:Parcubacteria bacterium GW2011_GWA1_45_10 TW85_C0003, whole genome shotgun sequence.
GGACGAUUAGCUCAGUUGGUUAGAGCGCGUCAUUGACAUUGACGAGGCCACAGGUUCGAGUCCUGUAUCGUCCA